rnacentral:lncRNA from 1 species
UCUGGGAUAGCGCCAUUAUUGAUUCGACUUUCAAACAGUUUGAAAAAUGCACGUAUGAAUGGAAGAAACUAUUUUAAGACACACAUACUAGUGCAUCUGUCUGGAUUUUGAUUGUCUAAAACAGUUCCGUUCAAUGUUUACAUCGAAAAAUGCAGUAUUUGUAUGAGUAAUGUAGAUAAAUGUGGACUCUGAGUAUGUGCGUUAAUAAACUGGAGGCAGCUUUGAAGAAUUGUACUCUCAAUAAACAAAACAAAACAAAAAAAAAAAAAAACAGCAACAACAACAACAAACAGACAACAAAGUUUGUGAAGUUCAAAAGUAUGUUCACAUCAACUUUUAAUGUAAUGAUAAAUUAAAG